rnacentral:misc_RNA from 1 species
GAUGAAGAACGUAGUGAAAUGCGAUACUUGGUGUGAAUUGCAGAAUCCCGUGAACCAUCGAGUCUUUGAACGCAAGUUGCGCCCGAAGCCAUUAGGCCGAGGGCACGCCUGCCUGGGCGUCACACGUCGUUGCCCCCCCAUCUACUCCUUCGGGAUUGCGGGGGGCGGAUGAUGGCCUCCCGUGCGCCUCGCCGCGCGGUUGGCAUAAAUGCCAAGUCCUCGGCGACGCACGCCACGACAAUCGGUGGUUGCGAAACCUCGGUUGCCCGUCGUGUGCGGUCGUCGCGCAUCGAGGGCUCGAAAAAAUUGCCGGGUUCCGGCUCGGCUUUCAACGCGACCCCAGGUCAGGCGGGGUUACCCGCUGAAUUUAAGCAUAUCAAUAAGCCGAGGA